CUUUGCCAGCAGCUGUCACUUAAAGGGGCAACCAGAAGGGUUUUACUAGGAGUGGGUACACGCCGGAGCCCGCCAGGUUUUAUCCCUAGUCUCCUGUACGCUACCUCCGAAAUGACUCUGGUGAGCUAGAAGAAGCUGCACGACUCUUAAAUUCAAACGGUAGAGCUGCAGGAUAUCCUGACUCCUCUGAAUUCAGUGAAAGUUCUGUUAUUGAUUUGAAAGUCUCCCUUUUGCAAUUAACAAUUGGAUCAUUUUUAUUUAUGAGAUCCAGGACUGGAACAUGAAAUAGCUGGGAGGGGACGCUUCAGUGUAGGACUGAAAUGUGGUACUAAAGUCCAAUCCUUCUUCCACUGGAGUCAGUGACAAAAGUUCAAUGGACUUCAGAGGACCAAGAACUCGUAUGAAUGGUAUGGACACCACAUGCCCAGCAGAGGAAGCAUCAUCAUUUUGUUAUGUGUUUGUGUAAUGCUUAGCACAAUGAGAUACUGGUCUUUUAACCAUAUGCCUUGAUUAAGUGAGGACCUGUGAUGAAUGGUUAAACUAAAGAGAUUGGAAAAUAGAAGUUGUGCCAUGACCUACCACCUUUAUUUACAUGACUAUAUGUGUGGGUUAAGGUUUUUGUUUCCUGCCCUCAGUUCUUCCAGUUUUCAAAUGGAAAUAGAAUGACUGAAAAGAGUUACUUUUGUCUGGAGAUUAUUGUUCAACCCAAAAGAGAUGGUUGGAAAAUUUACACAAUUUUUUUUUCAAGUUUCAGUCAGCUCUGCUUUAACUAGUUUUAUAAUUAAGUAAAUACUUAAAUAAUUAGAAGUAUAUUCUAAAGAGGAAUAACUUUAUCACAAAAGAGUAAUCCAUAUUAAGGCAAAUGGUUGAAAUACAAUAAUUUUAAUACGUAUUCACUGUUGUAAUCCUAGGUCAUUACAGCCUUAUGGCAUGUGUACAUUUAUUUGAAUGUAAAUGGAAAAAUGAAGGAGGCACACUUAGCUUGAAUCAGUUUCAUGUAAAAUUUCAAAAUAUAGCAACAGAAAAUAAACAUGAUGCAUUAUUCUUUUCGGGCAAAGACCAAAGAGUAAUUGAAAUUUGGUUCAUAGUUCUGGGCAAAAAGGAAGUACAGAAAUUCCAUAGCCUUCAUGGAUGCCCUGUUAAUAAGAUGCCUGUGGUGCUUUGGAAGGGUCUUCCUCAAAUUAGUGGAAUUGUGCCUGUGUAUAGAUUUGCAGAGUCAGGCCUGAAGAACACUUUGUCACCUAGUAAAAGUCCUAAGUGAUACAUGUGCUGCAGAGUUUAGUACUGUAAUAAAUAUAGAAAUUAUAGGUGAUUACUUUGCAUUCCAACAAAUGACAAAAAAGUUGUAGAUUAUAGUGCCAGUUUACAAAAUUUACUGCCCAAUUUAUUUAUUUCUAGCACAAGUAUGUUUAGAUCACAUUAUAUUGUAAUAAAUUGGAGCCCAAUUCUGCAAGCACUUACAUAAGUCACUUUACUCAUAGGAUAAGGGACCUACACAUACACAGUAUUGUAAGUUUACAUAACACUUUAUACAUUACAAUUAGAAUUAUACAUUAGUUAGUUACACUGUUGGGACUGAAAUGAGAAUAUAAUGGCAUGCACAUUUAAUUUUGAGAAAAACAUGGAGACUUUCCUUGUAGAGUACAUAAUUACUGAUUGUUCUAAAAGUAACUAUGGUUAUUCACUUUUAUUUUGUUUGGAGUUCCCAAAAGGGUUUCAUGUGUUCAGCAAUAGAUCUGAUUUAACUUUAACUAGACAGGCUAAUCCAGAAGAGUUUGGGAAGUUUGCUACACAAGUAUUGUGGGAGUUUUGGUUUUUAAUGGUUUCUGUGUACUCAUGUUCCAAAAACAUUUACCGAGGUUGCUGUAAAGUAGACUCUGGUAUAUUGCGACUGCAUGAGUUUGCCUGAAUUGUUCCUUACUUAAAUUAAAUCUGCAAAACUUGAUGUGUCCUCAGGACCCAAAAGCAUUUAUAAAAGGUUGCAGCAAAGUCAGCUCUGUUAUACUGUGACUGACAGAAUUAUUCCCUUUAUUGCAUCACAAUGUACCCAAAAACAUGUUUUCCAAGUCCAUUUAGCAUAAUUAAAACAAUAUUUCAAUAGAAACAACAUUUUUAUUAAAGCAGAUGUGUAUGGAAGGUAACAGAUUGUCAUUAUGUUUGUCACAAGAAAAAUGGCCCAUAAAAGCUCCUUUUUCCCUCUUUAACCCUAGUGUAGUAAAACUAAAUAUGACAGAAAAAGUGCCGAUCUCAAAAAGCCACAUUCCCAUAAGUACUCAGCCAGAUUAUUGGUUUGUUUCUAGGGCAGUGGACAAUUUUGAUGAGAAUUUGCACUGAACUUCUAUCUGACUAUUUUAAUGGCAUUUGGCAUUUGAAUAUUACACAUCUUCAGUUCAGGGAACCAAAUCACCCUGUGGCUCUCACUAAGACGACUCUCUAAUAUCCAUGAACAGUUCAAGUCCAGAAGCACCAGGUUCUGACUGUAUGGGUACGUCUAGACUACAGGCUUUUGUCGA